AUUAUUUUAUAUCGACAUUGACGCGAUUACUAUCUGUUCCGUCUUUUUAAGCAUACAAAUUCCAGUGGUUUUCUAUCAUUCGAGAAGAAUCAAUAUCCAAUCCAUUACCUUCAUUUGGAACAUUUAAACACAUAAAAUUUAACGGUUUUUUCUAAUUGAAAAUGAAGCGUCUUGAUCCCUCAAGAAACCCCAAGACGAACACUGUCGAGAAUCCUGCACACAGCAACAACUACGCUCC